UACGAAGGGGGCUAGCGUUGCUCGGAAUCACUGGGCGUAAAGCGCACGUAGGCGGAUUGUUAAGUCAGGGGUGAAAUCCUGGAGCUCAACUCCAGAACUGCCUUUGAUACUGGCGAUCUCGAGUCCGGGAGAGGUGAGUGGAACUGCGAGUGUAGAGGUGAAAUUCGUAGAUAUUCGCAAGAACACCAGUGGCGAAGGCGCUCACUGGCCCGGUACUGACGCUGAGGUGCGAAAGCGUGGGGAGCAAACAGGAUUAAGAUACCCGUGUA
rnacentral:rRNA from 1 species